GACGAACGCUGGCGGCGUGCCUAAUACAUGCAAGUCGAACGCAUUUUCUUUCACCGUAGCUUGCUACACCGAAAUAAAAUGAGUGGCGAUCGGGUGAGUAUCACGUUGGUAACCUGCCCAUCAGCGGGGUAUAACACUUGCCAACAUGUGCUAAUACCUCAUACUUCCAUUUACCGCAUGGUAUAUAGAUGAAAGUCGCUUUUUCGUCACUGAUGGAUGGACCCGCGGUGCAUUAGCGAGUUGGUGGGGUAACGGCCUACCAAGGGUGCGAUGCAUAGCCGACCUGAGAGGGUGAGAGGAGACACUGGGACUGAGACACGGCCAAGACUACUACGGGAGGGAGCAGUAGGGAAUCUUCGGCAAUGGAAGCAAGUCUGACCGAGCAACGCCGCGUGAGUGAAGAAGGUAGUCGGAUCGUAAAACUCGGUUGUUGGAGAAGAACAAGGAGGAGAGUGGAAAGUUAAGCCCAUGACGGUAUCGAACCAGAAAGCCACGGCUAACUACGUG
rnacentral:rRNA from 1 species